rnacentral:lncRNA from 1 species
GAAAAUUUUCAUUGAAUUCGUAUGAAAAUGAAAAUUUUAUACAUACAUACAUAUAUAUAUAUAUUGAAUUUGACUAAAUUAUUAAUAAUAAUAAAACUUUUAACAGAUAUUUGUCCUCUCUACAAACCGGAUAUGAUAGCAACACUCUCUCUCAUUCGAUUACUUUCGCGCUCGGAAUUAGACCGAUUUAUCUUUCCUUUUUUUUUUUGCAUGUGUGUUCGCGUCUAGCGUCGUUUAAGAAUCUUUGACUACUAUUGAAGUGUAUAAAAAUAUGUAUAGAAAUUUAAUUAUGUAUUAAUACUGAUUACAAUAAUAUGAUAUAAUACAAAAGGAAAAAUGCGUAAAUAAUAAUAACAACAAGAAUAAUGUAAAAUUGAUUUAUGAGUACAUGAUUAGAAUUAAAAAUGCAUAUUACAAAUUUUGGAUAUGGAUGCGGAUAAUUAAUGGUGGCUUAUAUAUAUAUUAAAAUCAACGAAAAAAAAGAAAAUAUAAAGUUCAAAAUGCCAGGCUAUAUUAAUUUCAAAAGGGGCGGUUUAUUUGGGGAUGUACAGAAAAUCCCCUUCCACAACCAUAUCGCUGUAUGGUCUGGUAGCGACUGUCGAGGGGUCUUCCCCGGAAAGAUCUGAUUCUGUGUAGUGUUGUUGGAAUCAUUUAUAGUGAUUCUCCCAAUUCGAGCAACAGCUCCUUCAGUCUCAGUGUUGACUUCGUUUUGGGGAUCGGUUGGUGGUGGCAACUCACCCGGUCCGGACGAAUUAGAUUCCGGUGGCGGGGCUGGUAACGCUAGUAGAUUUCGGUUGUUUUCAACUAUUGAUGCUCGUGGAGG